UGGUGGCCGCCUAGUUUUUAGGUUAUAAGAUCUAUUUGUUUUGAUUUUGAAGUAUAAUAAGCUAGUUGAAGUAGUUUGAAUUUUUGAUUGCUAAGAUGCAAUUGAAGAUGAAAUUGAAAGCAGUGGGAAUAAAUAUUAAAUUCCACACCUUCCCAAGUGGUACAGAUGCUGUCUCGACAGCAACAAGAAAUGAAUGGAUACAAAGAUGUAGACAAGUCAAAAUUAAUGCUCUCACUAGCGCAAUUUGUUCCAUUCACUUUAAAAACAAGGAUUACAAACGCGACCUAAUGAAUGAAUUGUUAGGUUUGCCUUUGAAAAAAAAAAUAAAAAAGAAAGCCGUUCCAUCAUUACAUAUACCAACAUCAGUAGAAGAAUAAAAGGUCGUUGAAUCUGACCGAAUCAAGCGAUUAACACGAAGAAAACAAAAGCGUGUGUGAGACAAACCGCCCACAAGUCCACCGGAAUGUGGAAUACAAAGUAAUGCUGAGGGCAAAAGUAGAUUAAGUGCGGAUAGAUAUACCGAAUUCUAAAAAAAAACCGAAAAACUGAAACAAGAAUUUUCCCAUUUUAAAGUAGAGCCAAAGAAAAAUAAAAUUAUUGAAGAGACAAGUACGAUAUUAUAAAACCAGGCAUGAGAAAUUAAAGAAGAAGGAGAAAGAUGAUGGAUUAAAAUGGUUAAAAUUGGUAUUAACAGAUUAGCUAUUCUCACAAAAAAAGAAAGACGUUAAAAAGAAACAAAUAUUUAUUUUUUUACAAUUGCUAUUCUCAAAAGUUAUAAAAUAUCACGUAAUAAAGUUAUAUUACAUA